AUAGAUAUUUAACGGCCGCGGUACUCUGACCGUGCAAAGGUAGCAUAAUCAUUUGCCUUAUAAUUGAAGGCUAGUAUGAAUGGUUUGAUGAAAACAAAGCUGUCUCCUUUUAAUUUUAUAAAACUUGAUUUUUGGGUGAAGAAGCCCAAAUAAAAUUGAUAGACGAGAA
rnacentral:rRNA from 1 species